rnacentral:SRP_RNA from 1 species
GCCAGGCACGGUGGCGCGUGCCUGUAGUCCCAGCUACUUGGGAGGCUGAGGCGGGAGGAUCACUUGAGCCCAGGAGUUCUGGGCUGUAGUGUGCUAUGCUGACUGGGUGUCUGCACUAAGUUCAGCAUCAAUAUGGUGAAAUCCUGGGAUCGGGAGACCACCAGGUUGCCUAAGGAGGGAUGAACCAGCCUAGGUCGGAAACAGAGCAGGUCAAAACUCCUGCGUUGAUCAGUAGUGAGAUGACACCUGUGAAUAGCCACUGCACUCCAGCCUGGGCAAUAUAGUGAGACCCCAUCUCU